rnacentral:rRNA from 1 species
CCUACGGGAGGCUGCAGUCGGGAAUAUUGCGCAAUGGAGGAAACUCUGACGCAGUGACGCCGCGUAUAGGAAGAAGGUCUUCGGAUUGUAAACUAUUGUCGUUAGGGAAGAGAAAGGACAGUACCUAAGGAGGAAGCUCCGGCUAACUACGUGCCAGCAGCCGCGGUAAUACGUAGGGAGCGAGCGUUAUCCGGAUUUAUUGGGUGUAAAGGGUGCGUAGAAGGGAAAAUAAGUUAGUUGUGAAAUCCCUCGGCUCAACUGAGGAACUGCAACUAAAACUAGUUUUCUUGAGUACAGGAGAGGAAAGUGGAAUUCGUGGUGUAGCGGUGAAAUGCGUAGAUAUUAGGAAGAACACCAGUGGCGAAGGCGACUUUCUAGACUGUAACUGACGUUGAGGCACGAAAGUGUGGGGAGCAAACAGGAUUAGAUACCCUGGUAGUC